rnacentral:rRNA from 1 species
GACGUAGGGUGCAAGCGUUAUCCGGAAUUAUUGGGCGUAAAGAGCUCGUAGGCGGUUUGUCGCGUCUGCUGUGAAAACUGGAGGCUCAACCUCGGGUCUGCAGUGGGUACGGGCAGACUGGAGUGCGGUAGGGGAGAAUGGAAUUCCUGGUGUAGCGGUGGAAUGCGCAGAUAUCAGGAGGAACACCGAUGGCGAAGGCAGUUCUCUGGGCCGUAACUGACGCUGAGGAGCGAAAGCGUGGGGAGCGAACAGG